AUGAUCCCAAGGUCAUUAAGAGCAGGGAAAGCUGAUCCAGGCUGGCGAUGGAAUUCCUGGAAUUCACCUGCUGAGCUGGGAUCGCCGUCCCCGCCCCCGUGGAUUCCCGAACUCUGGAAGAGCCGCGAUCCCAUCCCAAGCUUUUCCCAAGCCUUGGGGAAGCUCCGGCAGCCCCGGGAGAAUUUUCCCUCCUUCCCAUGGAAAUCUCUGCGGAUCCCGGCGGGAAUGGGGAGCUGCGGGAGCCCCGGGAGAAAUCCGGGCUGGCCCCGGAUCCCGGCACGAGAAUCCAGAGGAGCGAGGCUGGGGAAUCCCAGAACAAAUCCAUGGAUGGAAUCCGAGCAGGAGGAAAAGCAACCGAAGCUCAACUGCGCUGAAAUCUCCCGAAAUCCGGUGAAAUAUUUCCAAUUUCGGCCUUUCCUGGAGAAAAGACAAAUCCGGGCCCUUCCCUCCAUCCCGGAUUGUCAUUCCCCGCUCCCCAGAGCCGAGGCCGAAGAGUUUGGAACCAUCCCGGACAUUCCCCUCUGGCGCUCCGUGCCUCAGUUUCCCUCCCCCCAUUCCCGGGGUUUGGGGUUCUCCUGCCGCCCGGGAAUCGGGAGCGGAAGGAUGGAAAUGCCCCGGAGCUGGGACACGGAUCCGCCUCCUUCGCUGCGGGCAGCGAUUCCCGGGGAAACUCCGCCCUGUUCCAGGGAGCGAACUUGGGGGGAUGCUCCUGCUCCUGUGCCCUGGGGAUUUUCCAGCCCCGCUUCCCUCGGGAAUGUUCCGGCCGCGGUUCCCCCUGUCCCGCUUCCCCCGGGAAUAUUCCAGCCCCGAUUCCUUCUCUCUCAUUUCUCCCGGAAAAACUCCAGCCCCGAUUCCCCCUGUCCCGGUUCUACCGGGAAUAUUCCGGCCCCGAUUCACCCCGUCCAUGACCUGAUUUCCCGGGGGAUGCUCCAGCCGCGGUUCUUCCAGGAGAUUCUCCGGCCCCGGAUUCCCAAGGGAUGCUCCUGGCCCGGGUUCCCCCUGUCCCGUUUUUCCCGGGAGUUUCUCCUAUCCCGGUUAUCCCGGAGAUUUUCCAGCCCCGUUUUUCCCGGAGGACUCUCCAUUCCCACUUCCCUCCUCCCCUGCCCCUCUCCCGGCCCGGGGCGGGCUCUGGAGGGGCGGGAGCGGCCCCGGGGGGAGUGAAGGAGAAAGGGAGGGAGGGAGGGAGGGAGGGGGCGUGGGGAUCCCGGCCCCGCUCCCCCCCCCCCCCCCCCCCCCCCCCCCCCCCCCCCCCCCCCCCCCCCCCCCCCCCCCCCCCCCCCCCCCC
rnacentral:lncRNA from 12 species